rnacentral:rRNA from 1 species
GGGACACGUGGUAUCCUGUCUGAAUAUGGGGGGACCAUCCUCCAAGGCUAAAUACUCCUGACUGACCGAUAGUGAACCAGUACCGUGAGGGAAAGGCGAAAAGAACCCCGGCGAGGGGAGUGAAAAAGAACCUGAAACCGUGUACGUACAAGCAGUGGGAGCACAGGUUUACCUGUGUGACUGCGUACCUUUUGUAUAAUGGGUCAGCGACUUAUAUUCUGUAGCAAGGUUAACCGAAUAGGGGAGCCGGAGGGAAACCGAGUCUUAAUUGGGCGUUAAGUUGCAGGGUAUAGACCCGAAACCCGGUGAUCUAGCCAUGGGCAGGUUGAAGGUUGGGUAACACUAACUGGAGGACCGAACCGACUAAUGUUGAAAAAUUAGCGGAUGACCUGUGGCUGGGGGUGAAAGGCCAAUCAAACCGGGAGAUAGCUGGUUCUCCCCGAAAGCUAUUUAGGUAGCGCCUCGUGAACUCAUCUCCGGGGGUAGAGCACUGUUUCGGCUAGGGGGCCAUCCCGGCUUACCAACCCGAUGCAAACUGCGAAUACCGGAGAAUGUUAUCACGGGAGACACACGGCGGGUGCUAACGUCCGUCGUGAAGAGGGAAACAACCCAGACCGCCAGCUAAGGUCCCAAAGUCAUGGUUAAGUGGGAAACGAUGUGGGAAGGCCCAGACAGCCAGGAUGUUGGCUUAGAAGCAGCCAUCAUUUAAAGAAAGCGUAAUAGCUCACUGGUCGAGUCGGCCUGCGCGGAAGAUGUAACGGGGCUAAACCAUGCACCGAAGCUGCGGCAGCGACGCUGAUGCGUUGUUGGGUAGGGGAGCGUUCUGUAAGCCUGCGAAGGUGGCCUGUGAGGGUUGCUGGAGGUAUCAGAAGUGCGAAUGCUGACAUAAGUAACGAUAAAGCGGGUGAAAAGCCCGCUCGCCGGAAGACCAAGGGUUCCUGUCCAACGUUAAUCGGGGCAGGGUGAGUCGACCCCUAAGGCGAGGCCGAAAGGCGUAGUCGAUGGGAAACGGGUUAAUAUUCCCGUACUUGGUGUUACUGCGAAGGGGGGACGGAGAAGGCUAUGUUGGCCGGGCGACGGUUGUCCCGGUUUAAGCGUGUAGGUGUGUGUUCCAGGUAAAUCCGGUUCACUUUAACACUGAGGCGUGAUGACGAGGCACUACGGUGCUGAAGCAACAAAUGCCCUGCUUCCAGGAAAAGCCUCUAAGCAUCAGGUAACACGAAAUCGUACCCCAAACCGACACAGGUGGUCAGGUAGAGAAUACCAAGGCGCUUGAGAGAACUCGGGUGAAGGAACUAGGCAAAAUGGUGCCGUAACUUCGGGAGAAGGCACGCUGACAUGUAGGUGAAGUGAUUUACUCACGGAGCUGAAGUCAGUCGAAGAUACCAGCUGGCUGCAACUGUUUAUUAAAAACACAGCACUGUGCAAACACGAAAGUGGACGUAUACGGUGUGACGCCUGCCCGGUGCCGGAAGGUUAAUUGAUGGGGUCAGCGCAAGCGAAGCUCCUGAUCGAAGCCCCGGUAAACGGCGGCCGUAACUAUAACGGUCCUAAGGUAGCGAAAUUCCUUGUCGGGUAAGUUCCGACCUGCACGAAUGGCGUAAUGAUGGCCAGGCUGUCUCCACCCGAGACUCAGUGAAAUUGAACUCGCUGUGAAGAUGCAGUGUACCCGCGGCAAGACGGAAAGACCCCGUGAACCUUUACUAUAGCUUGACACUGAACAUUGAGCCUUGAUGUGUAG